AAGUAGAACGCUGAAGGAGGAGCUUGCUUCUCUGGAUGAGUUGCGAACGGGUGAGUAACGCGUAGGUAACCUGCCUGGUAGCGGGGGAUAACUAUUGGAAACGAUAGCUAAUACCGCAUAAUAGUAGAUGUUGCAUGACAUUUGCUUAAAAGGUGCAAUUGCAUCACUACCAGAUGGACCUGCGUUGUAUUAGCUAGUUGGUGAGGUAACGGCUCACCAAGGCAACGAUACAUAGCCGACCUGAGAGGGUGAUCGGCCACACUGGGACUGAGACACGGCCCAGACUCCUACGGGAGGCAGCAGUAGGGAAUCUUCGGCGAUGGACGGAAGUCUGACCGAGCAACGCCGCGUGAGUGAAGAAGGUUUUCGGAUCGUAAAGCUCUGUUGUAAGAGAAGAACGAGUGUGAGAGUGGAAAGUUCACACUGUGACGGUAUCUUACCAGAAAGGGACGGCUAACUACGUGCCAGCAGCCGCGGUAAUACGUAGGUCCCGAGCGUUGUCCGGAUUUAUUGGGCGUAAAGCGAGCGCAGGCGGUUAGAUAAGUCUGAAGUUAAAGGCUGUGGCUUAACCAUAGUACGCUUUGGAAACUGUUUAACUUGAGUGCAAGAGGGGAGAGUGGAAUUCCAUGUGUAGCGGUGAAAUGCGUAGAUAUAUGGAGGAACACCGGUGGCGAAAGCGGCUCUCUGGCUUGUAACUGACGCUGAGGCUCGAAAGCGUGGGGAGCAAACAGGAUUA
rnacentral:rRNA from 1 species